AGUGAACGCUGGCGGUAGGCCUAACACAUGCAAGUCGAACGGCAGCACAGUAAGAGCUUGCUCUUACGGGUGGCGAGUGGCGGACGGGUGAGGAAUACAUCGGAAUCUACUUUUUCGUGGGGGAUAACGUAGGGAAACUUACGCUAAUACCGCAUACGACCUACGGGUGAAAGCAGGGGAUCUUCUGACCUUGCGCGAUUGAAUGAGCCGAUGUCGGAUUAGCUAGUUGGCGGGGUAAAGGCCCACCAAGGCGACGAUCCGUAGCUGGUCUGAGAGGAUGAUCAGCCACACUGGAACUGAGACACGGUCCAGACGCCUACGGGAGGCAGCAGUGGGGAAUAUUGGACAAUGGGCGCAAGCCUGAUCCAGCCAUACCGCGUGGGUGAAGAAGGCCUUCGGGUUGUAAAGCCCUUUUGUUGGGAAAGAAAAGCAGCAGGUUAAUACCCCGCUGUUCUGACGGUACCCAAAGAAUAAGCACCGGCUAACUUCGUG
rnacentral:rRNA from 1 species